GGAGAAGUACUCAAGUGGCCGAAGAGGCUCCCCUGCUAAGGGAGUAGAUCUGCAAGGAUGCGAGGGUUCAAAUCCCUCCUUCUCCG
rnacentral:tRNA from 1 species